rnacentral:rRNA from 1 species
GAUGAACGCUAGCGGGAGGCUUAACACAUGCAAGUCGAGGGGUAAAUGGUAGCAAUACUAUGAGACCGGCGGACGGGUGCGUAACGCGUAUGCAACAUACCUUGUGCAGGGGGAUAGCCCGUGGAAACGCGGAUUAAUAUUCCAUAGUCCAGCUAUAUCGCAUGGUAUAGUUGGCAAAGAUUUAUCGGCACAAGUUUGGCAUGCGUCUGAUUAGCUUGUUGGUAGGGUAACGGCCUACCAAGGCUACGAUCAGUAGGGGUUCUGAGAGGAUUAACCCCCACACUGGUACUGAGACACGGACCAGACUCCUACGGGAGGCAGCAGUGAGGAAUAUUGGUCAAUGGGCGAAAGCCCGAUGCAGCAACGCCGCGUGCACGAUGAAGGCCUUCGGGUUGUAAAGUGCUUUUCUGCAGGAAGAGGAAGGACUGUACUGUAGGAAUAAGGAUCGGCUAACUACGUG